AGUGAUUUAUCAGGUUUGCAGGAAGAAGACAGAGGGAGAGAGAGAAAGAGAGAAAGAGGGGGGAGACAAUCCCGGUAGCAGUAACCAGGCUGCUUGCUGGGUGCGUUAACUCCAAAUCUGACCUCUAUGGGAACAGAACAGCCUCCACUCCUCUUCUCCCCUCCUGGCAAGCUGUGGGAAAAAGGGGGGGGGGGGCAAAUAUUCAUUUUGCCCCUCUCUGUCUGCUACACGCUGGCCCUUGGACCACUGGGACGCGGCCCUGGAAGGGACUGUUUGGCAGAGGGACAUCAGCAGGGGAGACCCGGGCUCUGAGGAUUGCACUUGGAACGAUUCUUGGACCCGAAGCGGCACAGUUGGCACAGUCAGGCUGCAGUUGUUUAGUCAGUCAUUAGCCAGUCAGAUGGUUAGUUAGUCAGCCAGUAAAUCGGUCAGUGGGGUCCCUCCCAACAGGGUCAACUCUUUGUGCAUAUCCUCCUCUGAACUCUGAGGUGACUCAGACUUACCAAGUAGGACCUGUGGGCAUGGUCACAGGUGCUCCACAGCUGCUGUAGAUGGACGGAGGCAUCUGGAGCCCAGGAGGAUGCUGGAGCAGAUACAGAGGGCAGAAGAAGGGCGGAGAGGUGCGAAGUUGAUCCCCCCGCUGUGGUGGGGAGGGUUCCUGGCACCGUGAUUUGAUGCACAAAGAGAAACAAAAAUCACAUUGCCAGGGAUUUCCACUCUUUCACAGCUUAGCAGUCUUUCUUCUGCUGUCAAAGGCCAGACUAAGACUGGAGUUCAUUGCCAGGUAAUCCCAGCGUAAUGUCUGCUAUGCCUGUAUAAUUGAUGUCAUCCAGCAGUCCCCACUAUCAGUAACUGGGAAUGCGUGUAACGCUGCUUCCUCCACACUCUCCAUUUAACUCACAUUCACCAAAGGAAAGCUUCAUCUUGACGAUUUCAUACCCACAGGAAAAUUAAAGCACAUUAGUGAGCAUGAUAAAUAUGCUCCUAUGCAAGAACUCCACUGAUCAUGGCUGGCAGUAUAAAAUUAUAUUUGUGUUGCUUUGAAUGUCUUAAGGAAAAAUGUUCCAUUGAGCCCUUAAGGACAUUGCCCUCAGAAGGUUAGAAAGUUAUUUUUCUCUGUCAUCGGUGUAGUCUAGUCGGGGCAGUCUUUCAGUCAAGUGGUACCAAUGACUAUUAGUCAAUGAUUUGUGUGAGCAUUUAGUCAAACUGAAUGUAGAAGACAAUGGUCCAUGAAUUGCAUUAUUCUAAAUGUCAGUAAGUUUGUAAGUACUUCAUAUCAUUUCAUGCAUGAUUAAUUAUAAUGUUACAGGUACAACCUAAUGUUCAAUUUAUUACAAACCCAAGAUUCAAUGUAAUAAAGAUGAAAUGAGCCUGAAAAA